rnacentral:lncRNA from 1 species
ACAUUUCAAUUCAACCUUUAGAUUCAAUACCAUACACAUUUCAAUUCAACCUUUGGAUUAAAAUUAGAAGCCAAAUCCAAUCCCAUUUAUUCAAAUAUAUUGCAUUUCAACCAAAUUCCGAUUCUAAUACAUUAAUUCCCAUUACAACAUCAAUACAAUAAUUACAAAAACUACAAAACUCAAGCAAUCCAUGUCCAACUCAAGCUCCAAUAUCCAAAACUCCAAGCUUCAUAGCCAAAACCAUAAAUCCAUAGCAUUCCAAUAUCCAAAUUACAUAGCAUCCAUCCAGCACUCCAAAAUAAUCCCAAUGAAUGUGAUAACUUCAAAACAGCCCCAUGAAUCCAAUAGCUCAUGCAUAGGACAUGCAUCCAAUUCAUAUGAAACAUACAUAAGUUCACAUAUUCAAUACAUUGACAAACAAUUAUAACACAUUUCCACAACAUGACAAUUGAACAGCCAUCAUAAAUAAUACACCAAGUUGCAUUCCAUUGCAUGUGACAUACACCAAAACAAAGCAAACAUUGGAUAACUACAAAACAUCAGAAGCAACUGCAAUGCACACAAGUUGCAAGUGUACUAGCAGACCCAAACAUAACAAUGGCAUAAAAAUCGAAGUGAAGCAUCAACAAGCAGCUAUAGCAGUGCAUAACACAACAUCAGUUCAUGACAGGAUCUUAACAACAAUGCAUGACAAGCAUAGCAAGUCAAAACAAAUCAGCAGCAACAGUAAUAAUUCAACUAACCUGCAUUUCCAUUAAUCCGAACUAACUUUUAACAGAACAAAUCAUUAACUUCACCCUAACCUACACACUUAACUAACUAACAAUUUCAUUUUUACAUUCAUUUGAAUUUCAUUCAACUAACUUUAGCAAUAUAACUAACAAACUGAAUUUUCACUAACUAUAAACAUUUAACAGCAGCGUAUUUCAUAAAAGAGGAAAAUUAAUUUCAUUUGCAGUUAUUUGAAAUUUCAUUUCAAUUUGAGUUCCAACUAACUUUUCAUUUCUACCCAAAUAAUGAAUUACCUAUGAAUUACAGUUUAAUUUCAUUUGAAUUUAGAAAUAGAAAUCGAACUCUAUAAAACCAUACUCACGCUUCAGAUCAAAACUUGAGAGUCCACUGAUUUUUACAUUCACGCUUAAAAUCACAGGGGGUUCAAAACACAUUUUUUUCAAUCCACAUUUUUCAUUCAAUACUUACUCAUUCAUAACAGAAAAUUCAGCAGAGAAAGAAGCAUCACGCAACACAGAAAAGGCGUCCUAAUCAGUUCUUCAUCACGAAUUCAACAGAAAAUAUUCAGAAAAUCGAUCACAACGAUUCGCAUAAACACACGCAACUUCACAACAUAUUAGUAGCACGGAGGGAGAAGAAGAAGAAGUAAUUGGAAAUCAAAUGGAAUAUUCGAUACCUGUUCAAUCCGGUAAGUCCUCCAAUUCGUCUUCGAUAUCAUUUCUUCUUCUGUUUGUUCAUACGAUAAUAGAGCGAAUUGAAUUUUGAAUCUUCGAAUCUUGGAAUUGAUGAUGGAACGACGCGAUCACGAAGUGAGUUGAAAUGUGAAUCACGAAUCUCUGAAGCGCGAUGAUUGAUGAACGUAGAAACUGAAGAAAGAACGCAUUAUUGUGAUCAAAGCAUCGAACACGGUGAUAAUGGUGAGGGGACGCCGACGUGAAGAACGGAUCGCGCGGUCGCAAUGGCUUUUUGGGAUAAGCGCUUUUCCAUGUUUCUGCUACAGCUUGUACGAAGAACACGAAGAAGGAGUGGACUCGGUUCCUCAUUCAAGUGCACAUUCAAGCUUGGAUCUGGUUUGGGCCAAGGCCCAAAU